CAGCACAGAGAGAGGGAGAAAAUACAUGACAAUGCAAGUGUAAAUUGAAAUUCUAGAGCAGGUUACAUCUAAUUAUUUAGAAUCAGGACAAGAGAUUCUCCCAUCACAUUCUCCUCUGAUCCAUUCAAACAGAUUUCAUUGAGCACUGUCUCAAUAGUUAUGUUAUUUACAACAUGUUUAGUAUCCUAGCAUUCCCAUAAUGGGAGAAAAAGCAGCCACCUUGCCAGAAUUGGCUUGACCAAUAGAUGGAACCUGAGAUUUAAACUCAAAAUGAUCAUAUUGCAUUUAGGAUCCAUUUGAAUUCCUCUUCUCGGUCUUUGAUACUUUCAUCUCCAGUCAUAGCAACUCUGCUAUAGGAUUAAAUAAAUCAAAGCAUCAUCCCCAAGCACAGACAACUGAGAACACUUCAUCACAUGACACUUUGAGAAGUGGAGGGGUAGAAUGUGAUGACGAUACCUUUUGUCUGAGCCAGGCAGAGAUUAACCGUUCUGCCAUGAUGGGGAAGGAGGAAAUCUCUGAGUCACCCCAUCUCCUUCCAAGUAUCAGAGGGGUAGCUGUGUUAAUCUGGAUCU